UUGUUCUUUCUAUGGUUCUAAAGAUUUGUGUUUAAUUAACACUUAUUACUAAUUGUACCAUGUAGUUGUUUUCACAAAAAUGUGAAAUUUUAUCUUUUGUUUCAUUAAAAAUGCAGGGAAUAAAACCCAUCAAAUGACUUAUUCAAGUUUAUAAUGGAGUGAAAUAUUUGACACUACCCUUGUACAAGGUCAAAUUGUUCUCCAGAACUAUUGCUAUUAUUACAGAAAUUUUAAAGAAAGAGUUAUGAAAAUAAAAAUCCAGAAGAGUGUUCUUCAAUAUGCACAAUCAGGAAAAAAUUACUCCUUCGAAUCAGAUACUGACCACUCACAAAUUGCCUUUAUGUUGAAGGAUCCACCCGCCCAAAAUGGCUACUCAAGAGUCAUUACUGAAGUAGUGCAUGAAUCCACCUGGAACAUUGCUUGUGAGUUUUGAGACUCCCAGGGCUAAUUCAGUGGGUUGCUCAUCUGAUUCCUUCAAUAUUAAACACACAGUUUGGUUGCUGCUACUGCUAUAGAAGACCAUUUCUGUUUGACUCCUGACAAAUGAGAUACUGAUGACUUUAAAAGAAGAAAUUUAUCAAGCUCUGUGGAACACUGGGAAAAACUGGAAGUGAAAAAUGAAAAUUAAACUCCACAAUCAACAUUUUCAGCACGCAGACAGAAGGGUAUUUGUAUUCCAGUAGUGCCAUUUCUGAGGAGCAAAUAAGUGCCUGAAAAAUCAGGAAUGCUUUACUCUUUUUCUCACUUUUCAAGACACUAUUUUCAUCCACUUACAUUUGAGGCCCUUUCCUCCAAGUUUUCUCUACUUUGUAAUGAAAAUUGAAGAAAAUUCCUGUGCUUCUGAUUUAGAUUCUAAGUCUCUGCCACAUUCAAUUCAACUUUUGCAAGUUUUCUCUUUUGAAUUUAAAACCUUAAUUAUAGAGUUUCUUUUAUUUGGUUCACCUUCAUUCAGCUGAGUCACUCACAACCACUUCAUCCAACAUCAUGUCACUAACAACAACUUGAUAAAGAGUUUUUAAUAGUAGUGCCCCAUAGAAGUCUCUAUUAUCAUAAAUUCCUAUUACAAAAACACAAUUAAUACAAAUUCACAUAAAUUUAUCAGAAAUUGACAGCCAGUCCUUUUAUAUAUAAUAAUAGCUGACCAGCUACAUUUCUACCUAUAAUGCAAAACUGAUCUAUUUCCUGUUUGUAGGAAUGACCUGGGAAAAAAAACAAAUUCCAACCAAGAAAACCCCAAAACAAACCCAAACAAGCCCUCACUGUAAAUAACCACUGGUGAGGUCUGGGGAGGAUACAGUAACUGAAGGAAAGCAGACACCUAAUAGUGAAGAGAAUGGAUUUCUACCUCUACACUACCUCAACUGUCUAGGCAGACUGGCAUAAAAAAUAAUAUGUCUUUUAUCUUUGUGCAAUUUAAUAUUUAGAAGAAAAUAAUAUAGUCAAAAAAACAAAGAAAAAAAUCCAUGAAAGAAGAGACUGAAUUACUUAUGAUCUGGGACCAGAUCUUAGCUUGAGUCCUCUAUCUCAAAACUGACAGAAAUGAAGGAUCAUUCUGAGUGUUGCUAUAAUCCAAUGUCAAUUAUUCCAUAAAAAAUUGUAACUGCUUCAACAUAAAAGAGAAAUCCAAAAUAUACAUAGGAGAUGGAUUUACAGGAUGUAAGUUUCAUAUAUAAUGAAAGCUCAAAAAAUUGACCUGUUAUUAAGAUUGUAGAGAUAUUUCCUUCUCCACUGGCUGAAUUUUCAAAGGUAAGAUGGGCUUGGAAAUGUAACAGCAGGAGACAGGUAUUCAGGCUGCUGAAUACCCUGUUUAGAUGUGCAAUUUGGACUGAGAAAGUUUGCUGCUUUCAAAUAGAAGUGAGACGGGCAGUCCAGUGGUAGCCUGGUUUCAGAUGUAAAAUAUAGAACUCAUAGCCCACCAUCUUUCCAUCUUAAUGUGCUGGUUUUAAAAAAUCAUCAGAGAAAAGUUAAGACUGCUUGAGCUGCUCCCUUAUGAUAGUGGAGGGGGAAAACAAAGAAAACAAGACUGUGAGAGGUUAAAAAUGUUCAUCCCAAUUUUACUGAGGUAAAACUUGCAAAUAACAAAACAAUACAGAGGAAAAUGGUUUAACCAUAAAAACCAAAAAAGGCAAAAUGUUACCUGGCCCCUGACCCCUAGGGUAAAACAAAAAUGGCUCCUGUUCCUGUGCUGCACACCACAAGGCCUGGAAGAACAAAGAAAGUACUGUGGCAAACAAGUUUUUUGCAAUUUAAUGCCCUCCCUGGGCACGGGGAAAGACAAUGGGGAACAGGGGCAAAGCAAAAAAGACCCUCAAAGACUAUUUUAUCUGAAAGGAUUUAUGCUGCUGAGAUGCUGGUGUGGGUCUCAGCAUAGUGGUGGUGUGGAUGCAGGAGGUUCUUUGUUCCCUGCCGCACAGCUUCCUCCAGCACUGGCACUACUCUGCUCAUCUCUACUGGGGUUUUGGGCUCUGUGAGGCUUG